GGAAUAUUGGACAAUGGGGGCAACCCUGAUCCAGCCAUGCCGCGUGAGUGAAGAAGGCCCUAGGGUUGUAAAGCUCUUUCAGCGGGGAAGAUGAUGACGGUACCCGCAGAAGAAGCCCCGGCUAACUCCGUUCCAGCAGCCGCGGUAAUACGGAGGGGGCUAGCGUUGCUCGGAAUUACUGGGCGUAAAGGGCGCGUAGGCGGAUUUUUAAGUUACGUGUGAAAGCCCCGGGCUUAACCCGGGAAUUGCGCGUGAUACUGGAAAUCUAGAGUUCUGGAGAGGGUGGUGGAAUUCCCAGUGUAGAGGUGAAAUUCGUAGAUAUUGGGAAGAACACCGGUGGCGAAGGCGGCCACCUGGCCAGACACUGACGCUAAGGCGCGAAAGCGUGGGGAGCA
rnacentral:rRNA from 1 species